CGAACGCUGGCGGCGUGCCUACUGCAUGCAAGUCGCACGCGGCACCUUCGGGUGCUGAGUGGCGCACGGCUGCGGAACACGUGGGGACCUGUCCGGGAGUGGGGGACAACACCGCGAAAGCGGUGCUAAUCCCGCAUACGCUCUGAGGAGGAAAGCCGAAAGGCGCUCCCGGGUGGCCCUGCGGCCCAUCAGGUUGUUGGUGGGGUGACGGCCUACCCAGCCAAUGACGGGUCGCUGGUCUGUGAGGACGACCAGCCAGACUGGGACUGGGACACGGCCCAGACUCCUACGGGAGGCAGCAGCAAGGAAUUUUCGGCAAUGGGCGCAAGCCUGACCGAGCAACGCCGCGUGCAGGAAGACGGCCUUCGGGUUGUAAACUGCUUUUGCUAGGGAUGAUAACAGACAGUACCUGGCGAAUCAGCCCCGGCUAACUCGGUG
rnacentral:rRNA from 1 species